UACGUAGGGAGCAAGCGUUAUCCGGAUUUACUGGGUGUAAAGGGAGCGUAGACGGCUUUGCAAGCCAGAUGUGAAAGCCCGGGGCUCAACCUCGGGACUGCAUUUGGAACUGUAUGGCUGGAGUGUCGGAGAGGCAGGCGGAAUUCCUAGUGUAGCGGUGAAAUGCGUAGAUAUUAGGAGGAACACCAGUGGCGAAGGCGGCUUACUGGACUGUAACUGACGUUGAGGCUCGAAAGCGUGGGGAGCAAACAGG
rnacentral:rRNA from 1 species